AUCCAGCUAACGAGUUCCAAAAUAGGACGAAACGCGCUUCCUGGAU
rnacentral:hammerhead_ribozyme from 1 species